rnacentral:rRNA from 1 species
UGGGGAAUAUUGCACAAUGGGCGAAAGCCUGAUGCAGCAACGCCGCGUGAGUGAUGAAGGUCUUCGGAUUGUAAAGCUCUGUCUUUUGGGACGAUAAUGACGGUACCAAAGGAGGAAGCCACGGCUAACUACGUGCCAGCAGCCGCGGUAAUACGUAGGUGGCGAGCAUGUCGAUUCGAUUGGGCGUAAAGGGUGCGUAGGCGGAU